rnacentral:rRNA from 1 species
AUUGAACGCUGGCGGCAUGCCUUACACAUGCAAGUCGAACGGCAGCAUGGAGAGCUUGCUCUCUGAUGGCGAGUGGCGAACGGGUGAGUAAUGCAUCGGAACGUACCGUGUAAUGGGGGAUAACGUAGCGAAAGUUACGCUAAUACCGCAUACGACCUGAGGGUGAAAGCAGGGGAUCGCAAGACCUUGCGUUAUACGAGCGGCCGGUGUCAGAUUAGCUAGUUGGUGAGGUAAAGGCUCACCAAGGCGACGAUCUGUAGCGGGUCUGAGAGGAGCAGCAGCCACACUGGGACGUGGACACGGCCCAGACGCCGACGGGAGGCAGCAGUGGGGAAUUUUGGACAAUGGGGGCAACCCUGAUCCAGCCAUGCCGAGUGAGUGAAGAAGGCCUUCGGGUUGUAAAGCUCUUUCGGCCGGGAAGAAAUCGCACAGGCUAAUACUCUGUGUGGAUAACGGUACCGGCAUAAGAAGCACCGGCUAACUACGUGCCAGCCGCCGCCGUAA